rnacentral:rRNA from 1 species
GCGCAGCAGUCGCGAAAACUCCGCAAUACGCGAAAGCGUGACGGUGCCAUCCCGAGUGCCGUCCGCUGAGGAUGGCUUUUCCCCUGUGUAGAUAGCUGGGGGAAUAAGGAGAGGGCAAGUCUGGUGUCAGCCGCCGCGGUAAUACCAGCUCCCCGAGUGGUUGGGACGAUUAUUGGGUCUAAAGCGUCCGUAGCCGGCUGAGGAAGUUCUCCGUUAAAUCCAACGAUUCAAUCGUUGGGCUGCGGGGAAUACUCCUCAGCUUGGGGGCGGGGGAUGUCGGCGGUAUUUCCGGGGUAGGGGCGAAAUCCUAUAAUCCCGGAAGGACCACCAGUGGCGAAGGCGGCCGACAAAAACGCGCCCGACGGUGAGGGACGAAAGCUGGGGGAGCGAUCGGGAUUAGAUACCCCGGGGAGUCC